ensembl:rRNA 5S_rRNA 5S ribosomal RNA
GUCUACAACCAUACCACCCUGAACGCGCCCGAUCUCAUCUGAUCUCGGAAGCUAAGCAGGGUCUGGCCUGGUUAGUACUUGGAUGGGAGAUCUGCUGGUCACUGCCCAGAUGGCCA